GGUUAAGUUGUUAAGGGCGCACGGUGGAUGCCUUGGCACUAGGAGCCGAUGAA
rnacentral:rRNA from 1 species